rnacentral:lncRNA from 1 species
UGUGGCGCGCCGUCCCUCCACGUCAUCUGAUCGAAACAGCACUAAACCGGUGGUUAUUGUGGGAGCUCCGACUAGGAACCCCACCAGAAGAGUCACCGCUAUACCGGUUGCGCAGCCAUCGCAGCAGCAGACAGGACGUGUGAUGAACAAUAAAACCGAACUCACCGGCGCAGAAUGGCCGUCUUGGUUGGCUUCUGUUGCCGGAGAAGCCAUUAAAGGAUGGGUUCCUCGCUGCGCAGAGUCCUUUGAGAAGUUAGACAAAGUUAGUUGAUCUUCUCUGUUUUCUUUCAACGAAAUCUUUCGUUCGUGACCUUAAACAGUCAUGAUCCUCCAAAAUUCUUGAAAUAACAAUUUAUGUUGUGUGUAUUGUUAUAGAUUGGACAGGGGACUUACAGCAGCGUAUACAAAGCUAGAGACCUUGAAACGGGAAAGAUUGUGGCGAUGAAGAAAGUUCGGUUUGUGAACAUGGAUCCAGAAAGUGUCCGGUUUAUGGCCAGGGAGAUUCUCAUUCUUCGUAAGCUUGAUCACCCCAAUGUUAUGAAGCUAGAAGGUCUAGUCACCUCUAGACUCUCAGGUAGCCUCUACCUAGUCUUUGAGUACAUGGAACACGAUCUCGCAGGUCUAGCCGCAACUCCUGGAAUCAAAUUCUCUGAACCUCAGGUAUUACAUAAUUCUGUUUUCCUAUACACUUUGAAAGAUUGGAAUAUUCAAGUUAGAAAAGAGUCUUACUUCGUUUUCAGAUCAAGUGCUAUAUGCAGCAAUUGUUCCGUGGGCUUGAACAUUGCCACAGACGAGGAAUUCUCCAUCGUGAUAUUAAAGGAUCAAAUC